GGGCCUAUAGCUCAGUUGGUUAGAGCUUCCGGCUCAUAACCGGAUGGUCCUUGGUUCGAACCCAAGUGGGCCCA
rnacentral:tRNA from 1 species